rnacentral:rRNA from 1 species
GAUGAACGCUGGCGGCGUGCCUAAUACAUGCAAGUCGAGCGAACGGACGAGAAGCUUGCUUCUCUGAUGUUAGCGGCGGACGGGUGAGUAACACGUGGAUAACCUACCUAUAAGACUGGGAUAACUUCGGGAAACCGGAGCUAAUACCGGAUAAUAUUUUGAACCGCAUGGUUCAAAAGUGAAAGACGGUCUUGCUGUCACUUAUAGAUGGAUCCGCGCUGCAUUAGCUAGUUGGUAAGGUAACGGCUUACCAAGGCAACGAUGCAUAGCCGACCUGAGAGGGUGAUCGGCCACACUGGAACGGAGACACGGUCCAGGCUCCUACGGGAGGCAGCAGUCUGGAAUCUUCCGCAAUGGGCGAAAGCCUGACGGAGCAACGCCGCGUGAGUGAUGAAGGUCUUCGGAUCGUAAAACUCUGUUAUUAGGGAAGAACAUAUGUGUAAGUAACUGUGCACAUCUUGACGGUACCUAAUAAGAAAGCCACGGCUAACUACGUG